UGCUCCUACUCCGCCUCCUAAUUAGACCCAGCUGUCGGCACUCAUCAUCUCCACACCAGCCUACUUAAGAGGAGCCCUCCCCAGCAUUCUUCGCCAGUUCGUUAUCUUACCCGGUCUCCUUCAUCCACGUGCCGACCUGGGUCCAGCCACGUCUCGACUACUCUGCCACGCCAAAGUCACUCCACGCCACGCACCAUCAGCUGAACCCACCUGGUUGUUCCACCCUGCCGCUCCAGUCCACCUCCGGUCUCCACUCUCCAUCCCCAGUCAGCAGCUCCACUCCAAGCUCCGGUCGCUGCUUCACAUUCCCCACGGACAAUAAACCUUUUUCUAACUA